UACGGGGGGGGGCAAGCGUUGUUCGGAAUUACUGGGCGUAAAGGGCUCGUAGGCGGCCAACUAAGUCAGACGUGAAAUCCCUCGGCUUAACCGGGGAACUGCAUCUGAUACUGGAUGGCUUGAGUUCGGGAGAGGGAUGCGGAAUUCCAGGUGUAGCGGUGAAAUGCGUAGAUAUCUGGAGGAACACCGGUGGCGAAGGCGGCAUCCUGGACCGAGAUUGACGCUGAGGCGCGAAAGCCAGGGGAGCAAACGGG
rnacentral:rRNA from 1 species